AUCUGCACAUUUUCCGGUCUUUUGGCUUUUGGGUCGGAGGAGGCCAAGGUGCAACUUUCUUCGGUCGUCCCGAAUCCGGGUUCAUCCGACACCAGCCGCCUCCACCAUGCCGCCUAAGUUCGACCCCAACGAGAUCAAAGUCGUGUACCUGAGGUGCACCGGUGGCGAAGUGGGUGCCACGUCUGCCCUGGCCCCCAAGAUCGGCCCCCUGGGUUUGUCUCCAAAAAAGGUUGGUGAUGACAUCGCCAAAGCAACUGGUGACUGGAAGGGUCUGAGGAUUACAGUGAAACUGACUAUCCAGAACAGACAGGCCCAGAUUGAAGUGGUACCUUCUGCCUCUGCCCUCAUCAUCAAAGCCCUCAAGGAACCACCGAGAGACAGAAAGAAACAGAAAAACAUUAAACACAACGGAAAUAUCACUUUCGAUGAGAUUGUCAACAUUGCCAGACAGAUGCGGCACCGAUCUUUAGCCAGAGAACUCUCUGGUAAAAGCAGGAUGACAUGCAACUACUUUUACUGUAUUUGGGGGCAUUUUCAUGGAGUGCUUAGCAUUAUUCCCACUUGAAGAGGCCCCAGCACCAUUAAAGAGAUCCUGGGGACGGCCCAGUCUGUGGGCUGCAAUGUUGAUGGCCGCCACCCUCAUGACAUCAUAGAUGACAUCAAUAGUGGUGCUGUGGAAUGCCCAGCGAGUUAAAAAGUACAAAGGAAAAUGUUUUAAUAAAGGAUCAUUUG